rnacentral:rRNA from 1 species
GACGAACGCUGGCGGCGUGCUUAACACAUGCAAGUCGAACGGAAAGGCCCUGCUUUUGUGGGGUGCUCGAGUGGCGAACGGGUGAGUAACACGUGAGUAACCUGCCCUUGACUUUGGGAUAACUUCAGGAAACUGGGGCUAAUACCGGAUAGGAGCCCCUGCUGCAUGGUGGGGGUUGGAAAGUUUCGGCGGUUGGGGAUGGACUCGCGGCUUAUCAGCUUGUUGGUGGGGUAGUGGCUUACCAAGGCUUUGACGGGUAGCCGGCCUGAGAGGGUGACCGGCCACAUUGGGACUGAGAUACGGCCCAGACUCCUACGGGAGGCAGCAGUGGGGAAUAUUGCACAAUGGGCGGAAGCCUGAUGCAGCAACGCCGCGUGCGGGAUGACGGCCUUCGGGUUGCAAACCGCUUUCGCCUGUGACGAAGCGUGAGUGACGGUAAUGGGUAAAGAAGCACCGGCUAACUACGUG